AAAAAAAAAAAAAAAAAAUCCAAGCCUUGUUCAAACAGAGACGUUAGCUUCAAGAACAGAGCGUGAACCCAAGUCUGGGCCAGGGCAGUGGCUCUGUGCGGGCAAACUGUCCAAGAGGGCACUCUAGAGCUCCUAGAGUGCCUGAGGUGUGGCAGUUGCUAGGCGGAUGCCUCCUGGAUUUGAACCCUCGUACUUUAAAACCACACACACACACACACACACACACACACACACUCUCUCACAAGAAAGUGAAAGUCAGGGGACAGCAAUAGAAGGAAUAACUAAGAGUUAGUGGAAGACUCUCACAGCCGUGCCAGGCAGAAGAGCCACCACCCGAAGGUGAAGGAGGAGGUGGUGAUGCGGAUGCUGAGAGGCAGCAGGGAGCAGCCCAGUGGCUGAAAGGAGCAGAAAGAACGAGGUCCCCUCCCGGCCGCGGACAAGCCCAAAGGAGGCAGAGAAAGCAGGGAGACGGUAGUGGUUAAAGGGAAAGGAGAGAAGAGAAGGAAGACGGAAGGAGGGACCGCAGAAGGAGGGGGGACCCGGCAACCGGGAGGAGGCCCGGAGGUGGGCAGGCGCGCCAGGCCCGGAGGGGGAGGGAGCGGCGUUGUCUCCUGAAUCAGCGCUGGCCCUGCCCGGGCGGGGACCCGGCGCCCAGGUCUACCAGCUCGGCAGGCCGCGUAGACAUGCGCGGAGCCAGGCCUUGUCGCCAGUGCCAGGCGGCCCCUCCCGGGAGCGCGCAGACAUGGGCAGCAUCGCGGGCACUGGCCGGACCAGGUGUGCCAGGCGCCCUCGCCCACCGCCCUCCUUGCUGUCGCCUUUGUCCAGGCCCGGCCGCUCCGGUUCGGCCCCGAAGCACGCAGGCAGGUAUCCUGUUGGAGGCCCUGCUGCGGUGUGCGCAGGGCUGGCUCGGCCCCUCCUGCGUCCUACCUGUGCUCCCGCCAGGCCCGCGGCUCGCCCGCCAGGACGCUGCCCGGCCCAGCCCGGCCCUCCGCCCGCCCGGCCGAGCGCUGGGCGGGGCCGCCGCCUAGGACAUGCCCGGCGCGGCCCGCACGCUGGCGGCAGCCCCGGCCGAGCCCACGGGCAGAGCGCCGGACCGCGGCCUCGCGCGGCG
ensembl:lncRNA